GAGAUAUAAAAACAAGGGAGAUAUAAAAACAAGGGAGAUAUGAACAAGGGAGAUAUAAACAGGGGAGAUAUAAACAAGGGAGAUAUAUGGAGAAAGAAGAAACAGGACUGAAUAAAUGUGUGCAGAAGGAUCCUGUAGCAGCGUCGUUCUUCCUGGCCAGUUGAGCGCGCGCGAGAGUUGGUGCCGAAACCCGGGACGAGAAGACCUGGGACGAAAAGACCUGGGACGAGGAAACCCGGGAAAAGAAACAUCUUCAGGCACGAGCGAAGACCCCCUGCUACAGGGAGGAUUCAGAACUGCAUAACGGGGAAGAAGGGGUUAAUAAAGGUUCCUGUGAAACAGACUGUUGAGAAGGAUUCAACUGCGUGAAUUCAGAACUCUUCAGCUGGGGAAAGGUACUGAUGAAGAGAAAGAAGAAAGAUGAAGACUGAAUAAACUGCUGUUAGAAGGACUGGUGGUCGCAUUGUUCUUGCUGGUCGAGAGCAGACGCGACAAUUGGUGGCCCGUACGGGGAACCGACUCCCCCACCGAGUUCAGAACUUUCAGCAGUCAGUGGUUGCUGGCAGGGUAAGUUCACGGUGAGUGAAACUUGCAACCCCAGGAGUUUGGGAAGGACCUCGGAUAAAAUAGAGGUGAGCAUAAAGUUGCCAGGAAGUAGGCACAAAGUAACCCAGGAGUUUGGGAAGGACCUCGGAUAAAAUAGAGGGGAAUAUAAAGUUGCCAGGAAGCAGGCACAAGGUAACAAAAGGUUCCCGGCUUUGGGACAAGUUAAGGUUCCCUGUUUGGGGACAAGUUAAGGAACUAUGAUAACCUCAGUGUAGUGAUCAAUAGAUCCUCGCUGUGUAGUUAUGCUUUUUUCUCCCAUUGACCCUUUGUGGGUAGGUCUGAUAGUUUUGGUCUUGUUUGUUCUGAUAUAUGGACUCUGUUACUGUUUGAAACUGUGUGUAGAGGCAGUCAAGACAGGUCAGAAAAUCCUUACAGAGCAACAAGAAAGUAUGUCGGAAAAGGAGAAGGGCUUAAAAAGAAAAAGGAAAAAGAAGACACAGUGUUAUCAGGUGGACAGAAAGGACGAAAUAAAAGAGCCGAGGUGGAGGAGGAAGGCGAAUUAGCUUCUGUGCCUCCUCCCUAUGCCUCCUCAGCAGCCACCUAUAGGUGGACCUUCUGUCCGGAGAUUUGGCGUAUUGACUCCCCAGAUGGACACACAGGUGAUCGAGGUUAUGGUCUCAUCACCACGAGGUAUUGUGUCCAUCCCCCCUGGGGAUCGAGUAGAUCAGGUGUUGACAUGGGCGAGAGGGUCUGUUUGUGUGUUUCCACAGGACCAGAUGGAACCUCUUUGGGUGCCGGAGAGAUUGGUGAGACGCUGCAAGAAUGAGGCUCCUGAUCCAGUUGCCCCUGUGGAUGUGGUGGAUGAUCCCACAAGCACAAAGGAUGGAGCCGAGAUGAGAGAUCCUUUCGGUGUUCCAGAAGCCGAUACCAGCUCGACAUGACAUUCAAAUUUUUCCACGCUUUUUGAUCCCUGAAUUCCCCUUAAAGAGAUAGCCCCGCUGGCCAUCUAUCCCUUGCUUCAGGGAAGAUGAGUGGGGAUGAGAGCCCUGGGAUGUAUGCUUGUUAUAGUGUGUGUGUGUGUGUGUGUGUUGGGCACAUGUGUUAGGUGCAGAGUGUGCAGGCCCGCACUUUCGCCAUGGUAGCAUAGGCUUUUGCUGCAGUGGAGGCGGGACAAUCUCCUCAGAUUCGGUUUGCCGCUCUAAAAGAAAUAAUGCUGCUUUAUGCCGUGGGGUGCGAGGCUAAGCACUGCACAGAGGAUAGCUUGCUGUUGGCAUCCUGUGGAAGGCAUGUCUGAUUGCAUGAAGGUUCAGUGUCCUAGUUCCCUUCCCCCAGGAAAAACGACACGGGAGCUGGCCAAGACCUCUCUGGGUGAUGAGCCUAAGGGAUGGUUUUGUGUAGGGCCCCUAUGCUUGCACACUGGGGAUCAGACCUCUACCUUCACCCAUGAGGCUUGCUUGCAGCAAUUAAGAUCUGGCCAUAGAUUAAUCAACAUCCUGGCCUUUUGAUGCACCUGCCACAAGCAAAACACAAUCUCCCCAGGUGUGGCUUGGCAUGAUUGAGAGGUAGUCAGUGAUAAGACUCCCUGGGCAUGUCACCAACCUAAGACAGGGAUCAAACCAAUGCUGUUUGUCACCCAAGGACGGGUAAGGGGCAUGGCUGCGGGGGGCUAUCUACAGACAUUCUCUCUGCCAAAAAAGAAAAAAGGGGGAAUUGUGGGGAGCGGAUGUGGCGGCAGUCCCAAAGGCGCCAGGGACUGCAGCUAAGUCAUAUGACUUGCACCUGACUUCCUCAUAUAAGACACAAACAUCUUGAGUGCUGCGCAGGUGUACCAGGAUACAGGUGAAUCCAAUUUGGUGGAGAUUUGCCCCUGCUGCCCUGAUUAGCUGAAGCCUCGUGACUGGUGAGGUGGCGUGGCCUGCUGUGCGUGGAUGGGAACUGAAAGUAUAAAAGAGUGAGAGGCCCAGGCUAGAGGGAGGAUUAUUAUUCGAGAGAGGAUUACUAUUAGUGGGGGAGAUAUAAAAACAAGGGAGAUAUAAACAGGGGAGAUAUAAACAGGG
rnacentral:lncRNA from 1 species